rnacentral:rRNA from 1 species
AACGAACGCUGGCGGCGUGCCUAACACAUGCAAGUCGAACGGGAAAACCCGCAAGGGUGAGUACAGUGGCGCACGGGUGCGUAACACGUGGGUAAUCUGCCCAGAAGCCCGGAAUAACUCCCCGAAAGGGGCGCUAAUGCCGGAUGAGACCACGUGGACUUCGGUUCCUGGGGGAAAAGGUGGCCUCUGUAGACAAGCUAUCACUUCUGUAUGGGCCCGCGGCCCAUCAGCUAGUUGGCGGGGUAAUGGCCCACCAAGGCUACGACGAGUGGCUGGUCUGAGAGGACGAUCAGCCGCACUGGAACUGAGACACGGUCCAGACUCCUACGGGAGGCAGCAGUGGGGAAUCUUGCGCAAUGGGCGAAAGCCUGACGCAGCAACGCCGCGUGUGUGAUGAAGGUCUUCGGAUCGUAAAGCACUGUCGGGAGGGACGAAUAAGGGCCGGGUGAACAAUCCGGUUCGACGACGGUACCUCCAGAGGAAGCACCGGCUAACUCUGUGCCAGCCGCCGCAGUAACAC